rnacentral:rRNA from 1 species
UGGGGAAUAUUGGACAAUGGGCGCAAGCCUGAUCCAGCCAUGCCGCGUGAGUGAUGAAGGCCCUAGGGUUGUAAAGCUCUUUCGGCGGGGACGAUAAUGACGGUACCCGCAGAAGAAGCCCCGGCUAACUUCGUGCCAGCAGCCGCGGUAAUACGAAGGGGGCUAGCGUUGUUCGGAAUCACUGGGCGUAAAGCGCAUGCAGGCGGAUCGUUAAGUCGGGGGUGAAAGCCCGAGGCUCAAUCUCGGAAUUGCCUUCGAUACUGGCGAUCUUGAGUCCGGGAGAGGUGAGUGGAAUUGCGAGUGUAGAGGUGAAAUUCGUAGAUAUUCGCAAGAACACCAGUGGCGAAGGCGGCUCACUGGCCCGGUACUGACGCUGAGAUGCGAAAGCGUGGGGAGCAAACA